AGAGAAUCUAGAGAGAGAAAGUGUAGAUUUGAGGUAAGCAAGUUGUUUAAUUUUGUAAUUUUCGUUUAUUUUGGUUCCUAAUGGCAUGUUGAAUAGAAUUAAUGGUAAAAAUUGUGUAAAAGUUGAGUAUAAUUAGCUAUCAACCUGUUUUAGUUAAAAAUCACAAUUAAUUAAAGAUUAAAGUAUUUUCAGUUAAGUAUUUUAUUAAUGGUAAGAUCAGCAUAAAUCUUUGUUUAAUUUGGUUUGAUUGAAAAAUAGAUUAGUAAACAUGUGAUGAAUUGGGUUAUUUGGACACUUGGGAUUUGAUAAUAGGUUAGGCUUUAAGAAAAUCAAAAGAAUUAGUGUUUGGUAAUUAAUUAGGGAAAUUAAUAUGCAUUGUAAAUAUUGUUUAAUUCAAUUCAAAUUUGAUCUGAAAACAUGUAGGAUAUAGAUUAGAGAAUGUGAGAAUUAAAAAAUUUGCAACAAUAAACUAUAUAAAUUUUCAUGGUUAGGAAACCUAAAUUAUGUUGUUUCAUUUCAGUUCCUCGUAAUAGGCAAAGAUCGCCUACUUAGAAGAAACACAAAAAGGAAGUCGGUGUAAGGUAGGGAAUUUUAUGCUAUUCUAUGGUGUAUCUGAUUUCUUUCCUUGAAUUAUUUGUUGGAAUUUUAUGUUGUUUCUAUGAUUUCAUAAAAUCUUUUAAAGUGUCAUUGCAUCUCGGUUUAUUGCAUUGAAAUGUUACCAUGAUGUUGGAACGUAUAUUGGUAUGAACAUUCGUGGUUUUGUGUUUGUCAAAAUGGUUUAUGGUGUGAUUGCAUUACAAGAAGGAUAUGGAAUUAUCACAGAUCAUAUUCAGAGAAUUUAUUGGUGGCGAAGUGCUUAUGUGAUGCUACAGGCCUUAUCAUUUGAUAUAUUGUUUAUGUGGGACCGUGGGUCCUUGGGUGAAAGUCCCUAAAGCCCUCGAGGAAGACACUCCGAUGUGGGUGUAUGGGGUUGGUCCUGCCCCUGGGUUUUAGUCCCUAAAGACACGGGGUUGGUCCUGCCCUUGGGUAUGAGUCCCAAAAGACACGGGGUAUGACUUGCCCUUGGGUGAUGUCCCAGAAUAGUCAUUAUUAUAUUGAUCGAGUAUCUUGUGGAGCAUUGAUAUCUGCUGUGUAGAUUGUUGGGAGUCAGCAAAUUAUCAGUUGUGAAAGGAUGGAUGGGGAAAAGCAAUGAUGAAACCAAGAAACACAUGCAUACAUGUUUGACAUGAUUACACAUUUGUUAAUGGUUACGAAAUGUUUAUCAUGCAUGUUAUUAAACGUUUAAUUCAAGGUUUUUAAGGGUAUACUUAGGAUGGUUAUAAACUUUCCUACUGAGUUGUGAACUCACCCUAUUCCUUUCACCUAUAGAUGCAGGUCAGAAGACCUAUGCAGGAAAGAAUGCUUGAGCAAUGCUUUACUGUGAUUGGAUGCUGUUUGCUCAUAUUGAAAGUCUUUUGAGGCCAUGCCUUUGGUAUCAAGACUACACCUUUUGUUGGAAUGAUGUAAUGUAUAUAUUUGUUAGAUACACUUGUAGUAUGGGCCACCCAUAGUAAACAAUGGGGUUGGGUAUAUGUAAAUUAAUGUUGUACAAGUUUCUUUUGUGAAACAAAACAUAUUUUGUUAACUUAAUAGUCACAAUGUUUAAUACAG
rnacentral:lncRNA from 1 species